GACGUAGGGGGCAAGCGUUGUUCGGAAUUAUUGGGCGUAAAGCGCUCGUAGGCGGGACUGGAAGUCCGUGUUGAAAGACCUCGGCUCAACUGAGGGACCGGCUCGGAUACUCUAGUUCUUGAGGCAAUCAGAGGGUGAUGGAAUUCCCGGUGUAGCGGUGAAAUGCGUAGAGAUCGGGAGGAACACCAGAGGCGAAGGCGGCUCGCUGGACAGUGACUGACACUCAACUACGAAAGCGUGGGGAGCAAACAGG
rnacentral:rRNA from 1 species